rnacentral:misc_RNA from 1 species
GAUGAAGAACGUAGUGAGAUGCGAUAAGUAGUGUGAAUUGCAGAAUUCCGUGAAUCAUCGAAUCUUUGAACGCACAUUGCGCCUUCUGGUAUUCCGGAAGGCAUGCCUGUUCGAGAGUCAUUAACAACCGUUUCGAUCCCUUUCUUUCAGAAAUUACAAAGAGGAAAAGGGUUUGGUUAUGGUGGAGGAGGGAAAGGGAGCGUUUAGCCUGUAAAAAAAGAGGCUGUGUUCCGCCUCCCCCCCAAAAUUGUACAGGCGGUCGUGUGCGCCCACGCAUCGAGGUGUUGUAAAAGCUGCCACGGCACUUUUCACCUGUGCAGUGCGAGAUUGGCCAGCCGGUUUAAAAACCCCUCCAAACAAUCAAAGGUUGACCUCGGAUCAGGUAGGGAUACCCGCUGAACUUAAGCAUAUCAAUAAGCGGAGGA